GACGAAGGGGGCUAGCGUUGCUCGGAAUUACUGGGCGUAAAGGGCGCGUAGGCGGACAGUUUAGUCAGAGGUGAAAGCCCAGGGCUCAACCUUGGAAUUGCCUUUGAUACUGGCUGUCUUGAGUUCGGGAGAGGUGAGUGGAAUGCCGAGUGUAGAGGUGAAAUUCGUAGAUAUUCGGCGGAACACCAGUGGCGAAGGCGACUCACUGGCCCGAUACUGACGCUGAGGCGCGAAAGCGUGGGGAGCAAACAGG
rnacentral:rRNA from 1 species